rnacentral:rRNA from 1 species
AUGCCAAACUACUCAAUCAAUACACAGAAGAUGAUUGUUGCGGCUACUAUGACACUACACAACUACGUUCGCCUCCAUGACAAAGAGGAUCUCCACUUUCUUCGGUGUGCGAGGGAUCCGGAUUAUGUUCCAACUAUUCCAGAUAGAUACAAGAAAUACGUUAUUCCUCCAAAUGCAUCAGAUGCUUCAACAUCGGCGGAAAGUACUCCUAAUAUGGAUUUGUUUAGGCAUGAACUUGCUACCGCCAUUGCUCUUAGUUGGUGA